GUCUGAUUAGCUUGUUGGUGAGGUAACGGCUCACCAAGGCGACGAUCAGUAGCUGGUCUGAGAGGAUGAUCAGCAUCACUGGGACUGAGACACGGCCCAGACUCCUACGGGAGGCAGCAGUGGGGAAUAUUGGACAAUGGGCGCAAGCCUGAUCCAGCCAUGCCGCGUGGGUGAUGAAGGCCCUAGGGUUGUAAAGCCCUUUCGGCGGGGAAGAUAAUGACGGUACCCGCAGAAGAAGCCCCGGCUAACUUCGUGCCAGCAGCCGCGGUAAUACGAAGGGGGCUAACGCGUUGCUCGGAAUCACUGGGCGUAAAGCGCACGUAGGCGGCUUCUUAAGUCAGGGGUGAAAUCCUGGAGCUCAACUCCAGAACUGCCUUUGAUACUGGGGAGCUCGAGUCCGGGAGAGGUGAGUGGAACUGCGAGUGUAGAGGUGAAAUUCGUAGAUAUUCGCAAGAACACCAGUGGCGAAGGCGGCUCACUGGCCCGGUACUGACGCUCAUCGGUGCGAAAGCGUGGGGAGCA
rnacentral:rRNA from 1 species